GACCUAGUCCUAAAAAGGCUGCAGGUGCAAGGCCAACUGUUAUUUCUUCAAAUGCGCUCAUACAUGCUUCAACAAGAAAUUCUCGAAUGUUUAAAGCAAUUGGUUCAAAUAACUAGCUGGACUGGACUCGAGAUGACGGAGGAUCCAAAAAACUACCUGCACUAGACUCGAGACCACGCACAAUUUAGUCUAUGGCUGGGCCAGUUUCAUUUGAUGGUUUGCUAUGAGUAUUAUGAGUAUUAUGAAUCUAUUAUAUGUACGGUUUUGAAUAGUGUAAUUGAAUGCCAUAUUUUUUUAUGGUUGGAAUAGGCUAUUACCACGACCCGUUUUUGGUUGCCACAUGUUUGCACAACGAAAAA